rnacentral:rRNA from 1 species
UAACAAGGAUUCCCUUAGUAACUGCGAGUGAAGCGGGAAUAGCUCAAAUUUAAAAUCUGGCAGUCUUUGGCUGUCCGAAUUGUAGCCUAGAGAAGUGUUGCCCGUGCUGGACCAUGUAUAAGUCUCCUGGAACGGAGUGUCAGAGAGGGUGAGAAUCCCGUGUUUGACAUGGACUGCCAGUGCAUUUGUGGUAUGCUCUCAAAGAGUUGAGUUGUUUGGGAAUGCAGCUCUAAAUGGGUGGUAAAUUCCAUCUAAAGCUAAAUAUUGGCGAGAGACCGAUAGCGAACAAGUACCGUGAGGGAAAGAUGAAAAGAACUUUGGAAAGAGAGUUAAACAGUAUGUGAAAUUGUUGAAAGGGAAACGUUUGAAGUCAGUCACGUUGGUCAGGGAUCAACUCAGCUAAUUUGCUGGGUGCACUUCUUGGCACAAUGGGUCAACAUCAGUCUUGACUGCUAGAGAAAGGCGGAGGGAAUGUGGCACCUUUUUGGGUGUGUUAUAGUCCUCAGUCAUAUGCAGCAGUUGGGACUGAGGAAAAGCAGCACGCCGCAAGGCCGGGUCGUUUUGACCACGUUCGUGCUUAGGAUGUUGGCAAAUAAUGGCUUUAAGCGAC